CAGCCGCCGCGGGAAUACGAGGGGGGCAAGCGUUGUUCGGAUUUAUUGGGCGUAAAGGGUGCGUAGGCGGUUCGGCAAGUCUUGUGUGAAAUCUUCGGGCUCAACCCGAAGCCUGCACGAGAAACUACCGGGCUUGAGUAUUGGAGAGGUGAGUGGAAUUUCCGGUGUAGCGGUGAAAUGCGUAGAUAUCGGAAGGAACACCUGUGGCGAAAGCGGCUCACUGGACAAUAACUGACGCUGAUGCACGAAGGCUAGGGGAGCAAACAGGAUUAGAUACCCGCGUAGUCCCUGUCUCUUAUAC
rnacentral:rRNA from 1 species